AACGCACCUUGCGCCCCUUGGCUAUUCCGAGGGGCAUGCCUGUUUGAGUAUCAUGAACACCUCAACUCUCAUGGUUCGCCGUGAUGAGCUUGGACUUUGGGGGUUUUGCUGGCCUACGGUCAGCUCCUCUCAAACAAAUCAGCCUGCCAGUGUUUGGUGGCAUCACAGGUGUGAUAACUAUCUACGCUUGUGGUUGCCCACCAGGUAACCUUCAGCAAUGGAGGAUCGCUGGAGCUUAUAAAUGUCUUUCCUCAGUGAAGACAGCUUUUUGAACGUUCGAUCUCAAAUCAGGUAGGACUACCCGCUGAACUUAA
rnacentral:misc_RNA from 2 species